rnacentral:tRNA from 1 species
UGGGGUGUAGCCAAGUGGUAAGGCAGCGGGUUUUGGUCCCGCCAUCCGUGGGUUCGAAUCCUACCACCCCAGCCA